AGUCAAUCAGGAAUCACCUGAUGCGCAGCAGUUUGGUGGCAGCAGUGGGAUCCAAAGGAGACACCUGAUGGCUUCGAGGAUGAGAAACACAGUCAUUGGUACCCUCAAAACCUUUGAGUUCUCCAUCUUUUUCACUGUUUCUGAGGGCUGUGGCGUCAGCUGCAGAGCUCCAGCCAGCGGCAGAAGCAGAGCAGUGGGCAGUGGUGGAGGUAGAGCUGGCUCCAGCUCCGUUGACACCUCCUCCUCUAGCGCUGGAGUCAGCGUCCCCUCCAUCAGCAGUGUUGGAGCUGGAGCAAGGGCCAACAUGGGCUCCAGCAGGAGUGGGAGCUGCUGAGCUGGAGUCACCUGGACCAUCAUUUCUAGUGAGAAGUCCAUCUCCACCUGUGGCUCUUAAGGAGGGUGAGAAGCUUAAUCUCACGGCCUUCCCUCUUAAG